rnacentral:piRNA from 1 species
UGCAAACUUAUGUGCAGGUGCUUGGUACU